ACAAACCUACCUUCAGAAUGGGAACGUUGCUCUGCUCAGCCAGGAAGACGGCUCGGUUGCAGAGUCCAGCGAUUCUGGCCAGGGCAGCCCAGGUGGCCGAGCUCCUGUCGAAGGAGGUACCGCUCUGGUUCUCCGUGGUGUCGGCCUCGUGGAUCUGGUUGUCGAACCACAUGUGGGCCACGGUCAUCCUGUUCUGGGUCAGGGUGCCGGUCUUGUCUGAGCAGAUGGUGGAGGUGGAGCCCAGAGUCUCCACAGCUUCCAGGUUCUUCACCAGGCAGUUCUUCUUGGCCAUACGCUUAGCAGUCAGGGUCAGACACACCUGGAGGUAGACACCAAGAGUUUACAGCUGUCACGAAGUCCGUUGCAGAAGAAGCUAUUCUGAUUAAACCAGAUUAAACUACAGACGCCGGAACUCACAGUGACGGUAGCCAGGAGACCUUCUGGCACAUUGGCGACGAUGAUACCGAUGAGGAAGAUGACGGCCUCCAGCCAGCCAUAACCGAGGAUCAGGGACAGGAUGAAGAAGGAAACUCCCAGGAAGACGGCCACACCGGUGAUGAUGUGGAUGAAAUGCUCGAUCUCAA